rnacentral:rRNA from 1 species
AUACAUGCAGUCGAGCGGACCUUUUAAAGCUUGCUUUUGAAAGGUCAGCGGCGGACGGGUGAGUAACACGUGGGCAACCUGCCUGUAAGACUGGGAUAACUUCGGGAAACCGGAGCUAAUACCGGAUAAUAUAAGGAACCUCCUGGUUCUUUAUUGAAAGAUGGUUUCGGCUAUCACUUACAGAUGGGCCCGCGGCGCAUUAGCUAGUUGGUGAGGUAAUGGCUCACCAAGGCGACGAUGCGUAGCCGACCUGAGAGGGUGAUCGGCCACACUGGGACUGAGACACGGCCCAGACUCCUACGGGAGGCAGCAGUAGGGAAUCUUCCACAAUGGACGAAAGUCUGAUGGAGCAACGCCGCGUGAGCGAUGAAGGCCUUCGGGUCGUAAAGCUCUGUUGUUAGGGAAGAACAAGUGCGAGAGUAACUGCUCGCACCUUGACGGUACCUAACCAGAAAGCCACGGCUAACUACGUGCCAGCAGCCGCGGUAAUACGUAGGUGGCAAGCGUUGUCCGGAAUUAUUGGGCGUAAAGCGCGCGCAGGUGGUCCUUUAAGUCUGAUGUGAAAGCCCACGGCUCAACCGUGGAGGGUCAUUGGAAACUGGGGGACUUGAGUGCAGAAGAGGAAAGU